UAAGGGACCGCAUGAUCCUUUAUUAAUAGAUUUAUCGCUACCGGAUUGGCUCGCGUACCAUUAGCUAGUUGGCGGGGUAACGGCCCACCAAGGCGACGAUGGUUAGGGGUUCUGAGAGGAAGGUCCCCCACAUUGGAACUGAGACACGGUCCAGACUCCUACGGGAGGCAGCAGUGAGGAAUAUUGGACAAUGGCCGAGAGGCUGAUCCAGCCAUGCCGCGUGCGGGAAGACGGCCCUAUGGGUUGUAAACCGCUUUUGUUGGGGAGCAAUAAGGAUCACGUGUGGUCCGACGAGAGUACCCAGCGAAUAAGCAUCGGCUAACUCCGUGCCAGCAGCCGCGGUAAUACGGAGGAUGCAAGCGUUAUCCGGAUUUAUUGGGUUUAAAGGGUGCGUAGGCGGAUGCCUAAGCGUGAGGUGAAAUCCCCGGGCUCAACCUGGGAACUGCCUCGCGAACUGGGUGUCUGGAAUGCUCCUGCCGUGGGAGGAAUGUGUGGUGUAGCGGUGAAAUGCAUAGAGAUCACACAGAACACCGAUUGCGAAGGCAUCUCACGAAGGGGUGAUUGACGCUGAGGCACGAAA
rnacentral:rRNA from 1 species